rnacentral:piRNA from 1 species
CACACUUACGACUCAGGAGCCAGGUUUGGAA